AGUGAACGCUGGCGGCGUGCCUAAUACAUGCAAGUCGAACGGAGUGGCGCACGGGUGAGUAAGGUAUAGCUAAUCUGCCCGACACUAGAGGACAACAGUUGGAAACGGCUGAUAAUACACUAUAGUGUAGGUGGAGGUUAUAUUGUAUCAGCUAGUUGGUGAGGAAAUGGAUCACCAAGGAUAUGACGCAUAACUGGUCUGAGAGGAUGAUCAGUCACACUGGAACGGAGACACGGUCCAGACUCCUACGGGAUGCAGCAGUAGGGAAUAUUGCUCAAUGGGGGAAACCCUGAAGCAGCAACGCCGCGUGGAGGAUGAUACUUUUCGGAGCGUAAACUCCUUUUGUUAGGGAAGCGGUACCUAACGAAUAAGCACCGGCUAACUCCGUGCCAGCAGCCGCGGUAAUAC
rnacentral:rRNA from 1 species